rnacentral:rRNA from 1 species
UGGGGAAUAUUGCGCAAUGGGGGGAACCCUGACGCAGCAACGCCGCGUGAAGGAUGAAGGUUUUCGGAUCGUAAACUUCUUUGAUGAGGGACGAAGAAUGACGGUACCUCAAAAACAAGCCACGGCUAACUACGUGCCAGCAGCCGCGGUAAUGCGUAGGUGGCGAGCGUUGUCCGGAAUUACUGGGUGUAAAGGGCGUGUAGGCGGGAAUGCAAGUCAGAUGUGAAAUACCGUGGCUUAACCACGGGGCUGCAUCUGGAACUGUGUUUCUUGAGUGUCGGAGAGGAAAGUGGAAUUCCCAGUGUAGCGGUGAAAUGCGUAGAUAUUGGGGGGAACACCAGUGGCGAAGGCGACUUUCUGGACGAUAACUGACGCUGAGGCGCGAAAGCGUGGGGAGCAAACA